rnacentral:tRNA from 1 species
GAACGUGUGGCCUAAUGGAUAAGGCGUCGGACUUCUAAUUAAUUAAAUUGCAAUCCGAAAAUUGCGGGUUCGAGUCCCGCCACGGUUA